GGGGGUGCGUGGCUUCGAUUCUGGGGAUCGAAGUGGGUGAAGCGAGCCGACGUCGCCGGAUCGUCGCGAAAGAGCCGGCACACUGAACACUUGCCGAGGACAACCUCGCACUCGCCGCCUAGGAAUAGGUAGCGCGUCUUACCCGGCCCAGCCGCUCGGCCGGAACCGGGACGUCAUAAAGAGCGGCUCACCGCCGGGACGGGCCCCGUGGCCCGGCGGGACAUCGCAGCGGGGCUGGGACCCACGCAGGCCGCCGGUGGGCGGCGCGGGUCCGAGACCAACCCAUCGGCUGCGCUCGGAGAAGCCCCACCAAGGACUCGGAAGACGGGGGUUCGACUCCCCCCACCUCCACCA
rnacentral:tmRNA from 1 species